AAAUCCUUUUUUCCCCAGUGAGGACGAGGACUGUAAAUCCUUUUUUCCCCAGUUCAAAUCCGGGUGUCCCCU
rnacentral:tRNA from 1 species